AACUUUGCCAAAAUGGAUUCUUGAGUUUUCUACCAUUCUCUAUUACAAAUUUUAUCUCGUUUAUCAAUUCUUGAGAGUGGUUCUAACCAUAUAGUCCUAAUGUAUCAUGAGUGUAUCAAGGGUGUGCCAUUUAUCAAUGAUGUAUCGAGUUAAUUUGCAUUUUUAAUUUGAUAUGGCCUCAAUAGUUGUGUUAAUCAUCAAAAUAACAUUAUCAUCCUCAAUCUCCCCCUUUUUGAUGAUUACAAAAUAUUGAGUGUAAGCAAAUUGGCAUUCAUAUGAAAAGUUAGAUUUAACAUUCAUAAAGUACUUUUGGUUCAAGAGUUUCAAAGUAGUCUUAUUUAGAGUUUGUAUAAAUGAACCAAAAACUCCCCCUAUCCUAUCCAAAUGGAUGCCAAAUGAGUUUUAGCUUUGCUCCCCCUUACUCUUGUAUUUCAUUAAGACAAAAUUUUCGAAAGUUUGUGUCAAAGCAAGAGUUUC
rnacentral:lncRNA from 1 species